rnacentral:lncRNA from 1 species
UCUGUGAGACUUAAAAUCUUAAAAUUUUAAUCUUAAAUAUUUUUGAUCAUAGGAGCAUUGAGUCGGAAUCAAUAUUCUGGAUAGACCUGCACAUUCUAUAUAUGCUCGAUGGAGAGGAUGACUAAUCUCACUAGCCACUUGUGUGGGGAUACUAAUACAAGAAUGUGGAUGCUAAUUUGAAAAUGAGUUCACUGAAUUGACUCACCGAUAGAGAAUAUCUUA